UAAGGGCGCACGGUGGAUGCCUUGGCACUAGAAGCCGAUGAAGGACGUUACUAACGACGAUAUGCUUUGGGGAGCUGUAAGUAAGCUUUGAUCCAGAGAUUUCCGAAUGGGGAAACCCAGCAUGAGUUAUGUCAUGUUAUCGAUAUGUGAAUACAUAGCAUAUCAGAAGGCACACCCGGAGAACUGAAACAUCUUAGUACCCGGAGGAAGAGAAAGAAAAUUCGAUUCCCUUAGUAGCGGCGAGCGAAACGGGAAGAGCCCAAACCAACAAGCUUGCUUGUUGGGGUUGUAGGACACUCUAUACGGAGUUACAAAGGACGACAUUAGACGAAUCAUCUGGAAAGAUGAAUCAAAGAAGGUAAUAAUCCUGUAGUCGAAAAUGUUGUCUCUCUUGAGUGGAUCCUGAGUACGACGGAGCACGUGAAAUUCCGUCGGAAUCUGGGAGGACCAUCUCCUAAGGCUAAAUACUCUCUAGUGACCGAUAGUGAACCAGUACCGUGAGGGAAAGGUGAAAAGCACCCCGGAAGGGGAGUGAAAUAGAACCUGAAACCGUGUGC
rnacentral:rRNA from 1 species